UACGAAGGGGGCUAGCGUUGUUCGGAAUCACUGGCGUAAAGGGCGCGUAGGCGGCUUUAUAAGUCGGGGGUGAAAGCCUGUGGCUCACCACAGAAUUGCCUUCCGAUACUGUAGAGCUUGAGACCGGAAGAGGUAAGUGGAACUGCGAGUGUAGAGGUGAAAUUCGUAGAUAUUCGCAAGAACACCAGUGGCGAAGGCGGCUUACUGGUCCGGUUCUGGACGCUGAGGCGCGAAAGCGUGGGGAGCGAACAGG
rnacentral:rRNA from 1 species